GACGAACGCUGGCGGCGUGCUUAACACAUGCAAGUCGAACGGUAAGGCCUUCGGGUACACGAGUGGCGAACGGGUGAGUAACACGUGGGUGAUCUGCCCCCUACUCUGGGAUAAGCCUGGGAAACUGGGUCUAAUACCGGAUAUGACCUCCUUCUGCAUGGUUGGUGGUGGAAAGUUUUUUCGGUAGGGGAUGAGCCCGCGGCCUAUCAGCUUGUUGGUGGGGUAAUGGCCUACCAAGGCGACGACGGGUAGCCGGACUGAGAGGGCGAACGGCCAAACUAGGACUGUGACACGGCCCAGACUCCUACGGGAGGCAGCAGUGGGGAAAAUUGCACACUGGGCGAAAGCCUACUGCAGCGACGCCGCGUGGGGGAUGACGGCCUUCGGGUUGUAGACCUCUUUCAGUAGGGAAGAAGCGAGAGUGACGGUACCUGCAGAAGAAGCGCCGGCUAACUACGUGCCAGCAGCCGCGGUAACAC
rnacentral:rRNA from 1 species